GACGUGAUCGCACAAUUGGUCAUCGCGCUUGGUUGAAAGCCAGUGGCGCGAAGCUACCGUGCGCUGGAUUAUGACUGAACGCCUCUAAGUCAGAAUCCGGGCCAGAAGCGACGCGUUGUCCGCCGCUCGUUUGCCGACCAGCAGUAGGGGCCCUCCGGCCCCCAAAGGCACGUGUCGUUGGCUAAGCCCUCGCGGCGGACGAGCCGCGCGGGCCGCCUUGAAUUACAAUUUCCACCGGGCGGCGGACUGAAUCCUUUGCAGACGACUUAAAUACGCGACGGGGUAUUGUAAGUGGCAGAGUGGCCUUGCUGCCACGAUCCACUGAGAUUCAGCCCUUCGUCGCUCCGAUUCGU
rnacentral:ncRNA from 1 species